CAGCACUUGUGACUCCAGAGUCACACUACAGACAGAGAGUGGUGGAAUGUUUCUAUCCAUCACCAACAUUCAACCAUCUGAUGAAGGGAACUACACCUGUGAGUGUGUAAAUCAUGGAGGAAUAAAUGUUUUGCACCUCAACGUUUCUGUCAAUGGACCCCAUGUCACAAACAACCUUUCUUUCCAUUUCAUGAUAAUAACAGCCUUUGCAGGAUUUGUAGCCGUCGUUGUCGUUGCUGGAAUAAUCAUGAGGAAAUGUCAUCUCAGGAGGAGCAACAGGACAUUGAGCCCUACAGCAUGUUAACAAGGAGAGACAAUGGGCUGUACUCAACACUCCAGCUGCCUCAUCCUAACCCCUGACCCUCUGGCUCCGUUGACCAAUGACGACAUGGCAUUAGACACCUUUUUCUAUCACUAGGGGUUAAAUAGUAUUUCACCAGCCCUGGAUAUACAACUGUACAGUAUAUCCAUUUACUGUAUAUCUUGAAUACUGUAAUGCCCCUAUUUCUACAGCUGAUACACUUCGACUUUAUAUAGUUCCAUUGAUUGGUUGCUGACACCUGGCUGAAUAGAUCCUAUACUGUAGAUCGUCUUCUGUAGCUGUAAAUAUCAGCGCUUACUUUAUGAAUCCUGCACAUUAUGUUACAUAGAACCAAUGU